GACUGAACACACACACAUAUACUAAAAUUGGAAUGAUACAGAGAAGAUUAGCAUGGCCCCUGUGAAAGGAUGACACGCAAAUUCGUGAAGCGUCGCAUAUUUAA
ensembl:snRNA U6 U6 spliceosomal RNA